AGUGAACGCUGGCGGCGUGCUUAACACAUGCAAGUCGAACGGGAGUAUCGAAGAAGCUUGCUUUAGAGAUACUUUAGUGGCGGACGGGUGAGUAACGCGUGAGGAGCUGUCCUAUGCAGGGGGACAACAGUUGGAAACGACUGCUAAUACCCCAUAAGCCGAGAGGUAAAAGGAUUUAUCCGGCAGAGGAGGUACUCGCGUCCUAUCAGCUAGUAGGUGAGGUAACGGCUGACCUAGGCGAAGACGGGUAGCCGGCCUGAGAGGGCGAACGGCCACACUGGAACUGAGAUACGGUCCAGACUCCUACGGGAGGCAGCAGUGGGGAAUAUUGGGCAAUGGGGGGAACCCUGACCCAGCGACGCCGCGUGGGUGAAGAAAUCCUUCGGGAUGUAAAGCCCUGUUGUAUGGGAAGAGCGGAAGACGGUACCAUACGAGGAAGCCCCGGCAAACUACGUGCCAGCCGCCGCAGUAA
rnacentral:rRNA from 1 species